rnacentral:lncRNA from 1 species
UUUAAGGUGGUACCCAACACCUUUACUAAAAUUAAUUUGGCUCGUUUAAUUUUCUAAAAAUUUUGACAAAGUAUUUACUAUGACCCUUUGACAAAAAUAUAAAAAUUUCAAAAAAUUUGAACCAAUCGUUUAAUCAGAAAAAUUACACUGGUUAUAUAGCAGUUUGACAAACACUUAUUUUGAUCAUUGAAAAGCUUAAUACUCCCUUAACAACACAACGUCAUUAAAACGUUUUGCUGAUUUUACAGAGUUAUCUCCCUGUAGUGUUAGGUACCACCUUAAACAUAUAUUUUU